rfam:Moniliophthora roreri MCA 2997 sctg_0043_0004, whole genome shotgun sequence.
GGUCCAAUAGUGUAGUGGUUAUCACAAUGGAUUCUGAUUCGUAAGCUUUCCAUUAACCCAGGUUCGAGUCCUGGUUGGACCU